rnacentral:misc_RNA from 1 species
CCGAGUUUACAACUCCCAAACCCAUGUGAACAUACCUAUCGUUGCUUCGGCGGAUCGCCCCGGGCGCCUUGCGUGCCCGGAUCCAGGCGGCCGCCGGGGGACCUUAACUCUUGUUUUACUGAGAAUCUUCUGAGUCGUUUUUACAAAUAAAUAAA